rnacentral:rRNA from 1 species
UACGUAGGGUCCGAGCGUUGUCCGGAAUUAUUGGGCGUAAAGGGCUCGUAGGCGGUUUGUCGCGUCGGGAGUGAAAAACCUACAGCUUAACUGUGGGCUUGCUUUCGAUACGGGCAGACUUGAGGCAUGCAGGGGAGAACGGAAUUCCUGGUGUAGCGGUGGAAUGCGCAGAUAUCAGGAGGAACACCGGUGGCGAAGGCGGGUCUCUGGGCCGAUACUGACGCUGAGGAGCGAAAGCGUGGGGAGCGAACAGG